rnacentral:rRNA from 1 species
ACGUAGGUACCGAGCGUUAUCCGGAUUUACUGGGCGUAAAGCGUGUUCAGGCGGUCUAGCAAGUCGGGCAUGAAAUCUCUGGGCUCAACCCGGAGGGGUUGUCCGAUACUGCUGGGCUUGAGGGCAGCAGAGGGUGGUGGAAUUCCGGGUGUAGUGGUGAAAUGCGUAGAUAUCCGGAGGAACACCAGUGGCGAAGGCGGCCACCUGGGCUGUACCUGACGCUCAAACACGAAAGCUAGGGGAGCGAACGGGAUUAGAAACCCCGGUAGUCCUAGCCGUAAACGAUGUUGACUAGGUGUCGACGGUCUAAACCCCGCCGGUGCCGGAGCUAACGCACGAAGUCAACCGCCUGGGGACUACGGCCGCAAGGUUA